AGAUAACGAUUCAAAUGCUGUAGAAGUUGUACCAAUCUCAUGGCUGAUAUUUACAAGUGGUAAAACAAUGUGCAAAUGGCCAGAAAAAAAUGCUAGGAAAUAUACAUACGAGAAGAACCCCCAAAAGACAAUUGGCAAAAAUACACAGUACAACUAAUAUUGCAAAGUGAUUCAUACAAAGAAGCUGUACAUGUUGUACAAAAAAAAAACUCGAACCGAUACAUCAGAAUCGCAACCAUCUUCGCAAUUAGGCCGAGAGAAAAGGAAAAAAAAAAAAAAAUCCCACCCAGUUACAG